rnacentral:rRNA from 1 species
CCUACGGGUGGCAGCAGUGAGGAAUAUUGGUCAAUGGGCGCGAGCCUGAACCAGCCAAGUCGCGUGAGGGAAGACGGUCCUAUGGAUUGUAAACUUCUUUUAUAAAGGAAUAAAGUGAGGCACGUGUGCCUUUUUGUAUGUACUUUAUGAAUAAGGAUCGGCUAACUCCGUGCCAGCAGCCGCGGUAAUACGGAGGAUCCGAGCGUUAUCCGGAUUUAUUGGGUUUAAAGGGAGCGUAGAUGGGUUGUUAAGUCAGUUGUGAAAGUUUGCGGCUCAACCGUAAAAUUGCAAUUGAUACUGGCAGCCUUGAGUACAGUUGAGGUAGGCGGAAUUCGUGGUGUAGCGGUGAAAUGCUUAGAUAUCACGAAGAACUCCGAUUGCGAAGGCAGCUUACUAAACUGCCACUGACAUUGAUGCUCGAAAGUGUGGGUAUCAAACAGGAUUAGAUACCCGAGUAGUC